rnacentral:rRNA from 1 species
GUUAGCGGCGGACGGGUGAGUAACACGUGGGUAACCUGCCUGUAAGACUGGGAUAACUCCGGGCAAACCGGAGCUAAUACCGGAUAGUUCCUUGAACCGCAUGGUUCAACGAUGAAAGACGGUUUCGGCUGUCACUUACAGAUGGACCCGCGGCGCAUUAGCUAGUUGGUGGGGUAAUGGCUCACCAAGGCGACGAUGCGUAGCCGACCUGAGAGGGUGAUCGGCCACACUGGGACUGAGACACGGGCCAGACUCCUACGGGAGGCAGCAGUAGGGAAUCUUCCGCAAUGGACGAAAGUCUGACGGAGCAACGCCGCGUGAGUGAUGAAGGUUUUCGGAUCGUAAAGCUCUGUUGUUAGGGAAGAACAAGUGCGAGAGUAACUGCUCGACCUUGA